rnacentral:rRNA from 1 species
GAAUCAUGGCUCAGGAUGAACGCUGGCGGCGUGCUUAACACAUGCAAGUCGAACGAAGCACUUUAAUUGAUUUCUUCGGAAUGAAGUUUUUGUGACUGAGUGGCGGACGGGUGAGUAACGCGUGGGUAACCUGCCUCAUACAGGGGGAUAACAGUUGGAAACGACUGCUAAUACCGCAUAAGCGCACAGGAUUGCAUGAUCCAGUGUGAAAAACUCCGGUGGUAUGAGAUGGACCCGCG